rnacentral:rRNA from 1 species
UACGUAGGGUGCAAGCGUUAUCCGGAAUUAUUGGGCGUAAAGAGCUCGUAGGCGGUUUGUCGCGUCUGCUGUGAAAACUCGGGGCUUAACCCCGGGCCUGCAGUGGGUACGGGCAGACUAGAGUGCGGUAGGGGAGACUGGAAUUCCUGGUGUAGCGGUGAAAUGCGCAGAUAUCAGGAGGAACACCGGUGGCGAAGGCGGGUCUCUGGGCCGAUACUGACGCUGAGACGCGAAAGCGUGGGGAGCGAACAGG